AGAGAGAAGGAGAUGUAGUCUAUUACUUAAAGUGGUUAUAGAUUACAGAAGUACCUCUUUGCUUAAAAACAGAACAACAUAAACAGGUGGCAAAUAUUUAUUCUUCAAGAAAGAGGGAUAAUGAAAAUUAUGGGUUUGUUGAUGUAAGCAUCUGGGAAGCCUUAGGAAGAAGGCCGUAGCAAAUCACUUUUGAAAAAUCUUGCCAAGAAAACUGCAGAGACUUGAGAAUUGGACACAACUGAGUGGAAGAAGAAGAAAAAAUAAUCAGUAAGAAAGAGUUAGCUGCAUUCAAUAGAAUGAUGUGAUCACCUAUUGGUUGGCAACUUGUGAAAUACUAGAGGUUGUGAACUUUUGCUUCCAACAGCUUCAGCCAGCGUGGCCUGUGGAAAACUCUGCUGAAAUCAUGAUUUAGCAACAUUUAGAUGUUAUAGAAGUGUUCAAAUACUUGAGGGGCUGUCACAGAGAGGAGGGGUUCAAUCUAUUUUCCAAAGCACCUGAAGGCCAGACAAGGAAUAAUGGAUGGAAACUGAACAAGGAGAGAUUCAACUUAGAAAUAAGGAGUGAGAACAAUCAACCAAUGGAACUGCUUGCCUUCAGAGGCUGUGGGAGCUUCAUCACUGGAAGCUUUCAAGAAGAGACUGGACUGCCAUCUGUCAGAAAUGGUGUAGGGUCUCCUGUUUGAGCAGGGGGUUGCACUAGAUCACCAACAAGGUCCCUUCCAAUUCUGUUAUUUCUGUUAUUAUCAACUGCAACAUUUACACACUCCAAAACCCAGAUAAUCUAUUUCUGAAAUCUUGGAUGAUAAAUGAAAAAUGCUAAAUAUCAUUACACCUUUUAAAAUUAAAAUAUCCUACAUAAGAUAGAAAU